rnacentral:rRNA from 1 species
CGUAGGGGGCAAGCGUUGUUCGGAAUUAUUGGGCGUAAAGGGCAUGUAGGCGGUUUUGUAAGCCUGGUGUGAAAUCCUGCAGCUUAACUGUAGAAUUGCAUUGGGUACUGCAAGACUUGAAUCACAGAGGGGAAACUAGAAUUCCAGGUGUAGGGGUGGAAUCUGUAGAUAUCUGGAAGAAUACCGGUGGCGAAGGCGGGUUUCUAGCUGAUGAUUGACGCUGAGGUGCGAAAGUGCGGGGAGCAAACGGGAUUAGAUACCCCGGUAGUCCUAGCCCUAAACGAUGAAUGCUUGGUGUGGCGGGUAUCGAUCCCUGCCGUGCCGAAGCUAACGCAUUAAGCAUUCCGCCUGGGGAGUACGGUCGCAAGGCUG